rnacentral:sRNA from 2 species
CGAAAUGUUAUCUAGGGUUCCGCGAUGAUGUAUCGGCUGGUCCGAGAGAUAACUCACAGCCGUAAGGCUGUGUCACGGAGGGAUAAAAGCCUGGGAGAU